UAGAAAGUGGUGUAGGGGAAGCACUGAGAGUUUUGAUUUCUCCAGGGAGGGUUCAAACCCCUUCUUUCUAA
rnacentral:tRNA from 2 species